rnacentral:rRNA from 1 species
UACGGAGGGUGCAAGCGUUAUCCGGAUUCACUGGGUUUAAAGGGUGCGUAGGUGGGCAAGUAAGUCAGUGGUGAAAUCUCCGGGCUUAACCCGGAAACUGCCAUUGAUACUAUUUGUCUUGAAUUCUGUGGAGGUGAGCGGAAUAUGUCAUGUAGCGGUGAAAUGCUUAGAUAUGACAUAGAACACCGAUUGCGAAGGCAGCUCACUACACAGCGAUUGACACUGAGGCACGAAAGCGUGGGGAUCAAACAGG